GUCUACAGCCAUGCCACCCUGAACAAACUUGAUCUUGUCUGAUGUUGGAAGCUUAGCAGUGUCCGGGCCUGGAUUAGUACUUGGAUGGGCAGACCACCUAUGAAAACCAGGUGCUGUAGGCG
rnacentral:rRNA from 1 species